rnacentral:rRNA from 1 species
GAACCGACUUACGUUGAAAAGUGAGCGGAUGAACUGAGGGUAGCGGAGAAAUUCCAAUCGAACCUGGAGAUAGCUGGUUCUCUCCGAAAUAGCUUUAGGGCUAGCCUCAAGUGAUGAUUAUUGGAGGUAGAGCACUGUUUGGACGAGGGGCCCCUCUCGGGUUACCGAAUUCAGACAAACUCCGAAUGCCAAUUAAUUUAACUUGGGAGUCAGAACAUGGGUGAUAAGGUCCGUGUUCGAAAGGGAAACAGCCCAGACCACCAGCUAAGGUCCCAAAAUAUAUGUUAAGUGGAAAAGGAUGUGGCGUUGCCCAGACAACUAGGAUGUUGGCUUAGAAGCAGCCAUCAUUUAAAGAGUGCGUAAUAGCUCACUAGUCGAGUGACACUGCGCCGAAAAUGUACCGGGGCUAAACAUAUUACCGAAGCUGUGGAUUGUCCUUUGGACAAUGGUAGGAGAGCGUUCUAAGGGCGUUGAAGCAUGAUCGUAAGGACAUGUGGAGCGCUUAGAAGUGAGAAUGCCGGUGUGAGUAGCGAAAGACGGGUGAGAAUCCCGUCCACCGAUUGACUAAGGUUUCCAGAGGAAGGCUCGUCCGCUCUGGGUUAGUCGGGUCCUAAGCUGAGGCCGACAGGCGUAGGCGAUGGAUAACAGGUUGAUAUUCCUGUACCACCUAUAAUCGUUUUAAUCGAUGGGGGGACGCAGUAGGAUAGGCGAAGCGUGCGAUUGGAUUGCACGUCUAAGCAGUAAGGCUGAGUAUUAGGCAAAUCCGGUACUCGUUAAGGCUGAGCUGUGAUGGGGAGAAGACAUUGUGUCUUCGAGUCGUUGAUUUCACACUGCCGA